rnacentral:rRNA from 1 species
UACGGAGGGUGCGAGCGUUAAUCGGAAUUACUGGGCGUAAAGCGUGCGUAGGCGGCCCGUUAAGUCAGAUGUGAAAGCCCUGGGCUCAACCUGGGAACGGCAUUUGAAACUGGCGAGCUAGAGUUUGGGAGAGGAGAGUGGAAUUUCAGGUGUAGCGGUGAAAUGCGUAGAGAUCUGAAGGAACACCAGUGGCGAAGGCGGCUCUCUGGCCUAAAACUGACGCUGAGGUACGAAAGCUUGGGUAGCAAACAGAAUUAAAUACCCUGGUAGCCCACGCCGUAAACGAUGUCAACUAGCCGUUGGCUCUCUUAGAGAGUUAGUGGCGCAGCUAACGCAUUAAGUUGACCGCCUGGGGAGUACGGCCGCAAGGUUA